rnacentral:misc_RNA from 1 species
GAUGAAGAACGUAGCGAAAUGCGAUAAGUAAUGCGAAUUGCAGAAUUCCAGUGAGUCAUCGAAUCUUUGAACGCACAUUGCGCCCUUUGGUAUUCCGAAGGGCAUGCCUGUUCGAGCGUCAUUAUCACCCCUCAAGCCCUCGGCUUGGUGUUGGACGGUUUGGUGGAGGCCCCCUCGGGGGCUCCUGCCCCUCCCAAAGACAAUGACGGCGGCCUCGUUGGACCCCCGGUACACUGAGUUCUUCACGGGACACGUAUCUGACACAUGGGUUUACGGGACACGGUCUGCCUCCCCUCAGGGAGAAUCUUUCUAAGGUUGACCUCGGAUCAGGUAGGGAUACCCGCUGAACUUAAGCAUAUCAAUAAGCGGAGGA